rnacentral:rRNA from 1 species
UGCCAGCAGCCGCGGUAAUACGGAGGGGGUUAGCGUUGUUCGGAAUUACUGGGCGUAAAGCGCGCGUAGGCGGAUUGUUCAGUCAGGGGUGAAAUCCCGGGGCUCAACCCCGGAACUGCCUUUGAUACUGGCAAUCUUGAGUUCUGGAGAGGUGAGUGGAAUUCCGAGUGUAGAGGUGAAAUUCGUAGAUAUUCGGAGGAACACCAGUGGCGAAGGCGGCUCACUGGCCAGAUACUGACGCUGAGGUGCGAAAGCGUGGGGAGCAAACAGGAUUAGAUA